CCAAUAGCGUAUAUUAAAGUUGUUGUGGUUAAAAAGCUCGUAGUUGAACCUUGGGCCUGGCUGGCCGGUCCGCCUCACCGCGUGUACUGGUCCGGCCGGGCCUUUCCCUCUGUGGAACCUCAUGCCCUUCACUGGGUGUGACGGGGAAGCAGGACUUUUACUGUGAAAAAAUUAGAGUGCUCCAAGCAGGCCUAUGCUCGAAUACAUUAGCAUGGAAUAAUAAAAUAGGACGUGCGGUUCUAUUUUGUUGGUUUCUAGGACCGCCGUAAUGAGUAAUAGGGACAGUCGGGGGCAUCAGUAUUCAAUUGUCAGAGGUGUAAUUCUUGGAUUUAUUGAAGACUAACUACUGCGAAAGCAUUUGCCAAGGAUGUUUUCAUUAAUCAGGAACGAAAGUUAGGGGAUCGAAGACGAUCAGAUACCGUCGUAGUCUUAACCAUAAACUAUGCCGACUAGGGAUCGGACGAUGUUAAUUUUUUAAUGACUCAUUCGGCGCCUUACG
rnacentral:misc_RNA from 1 species